rnacentral:rRNA from 1 species
UAGAGUUUGAUCCUGGCUCAGAGCGAACGCUGGCGGCAGGCCUAACACAUGCAAGUCGAGCGCCCAGCAAUGGGAGCGGCAGACGGGAUAGUAACACGUGGGAACAUGCCCUUCAGUUCGGAACAACCAAGGGAGACUUUGGCUAAUACCGGAUACGCCCUUACGGGGAAAGAUUUAUCGCUGAAGGAUUGGCCCGCGUCUGAUUAGCUAGUUGGUGAGGUAACGGCUCACCAAGGCUACGAUCAGUAGCUGGUCUGAGAGGAUGAUCAGCAUCACUGGGACUGAGACACGGCCCAGACUCCUACGGGAGGCAGCAGUGGGGAAUAUUGGACAAUAGGCGCAAGCCCGAUCCAGCCAUGCCGCGUGGAUGAUGAAGGCCCUAGGGUUGUAAAGCACUUUUGUCCGGAAAGAAAUGGCUCUGGUUAAUACCUGGGGUCGAUGACGGUACCGGAAGAAUAAGGACCGGCUAACUACGUGCCAGCAGCCCCGGUCAA